rnacentral:rRNA from 1 species
AUACGGAGGAUCCGAGCGUUAUCCGGAUUUAUUGGGUUUAAAGGGUGCGUAGGCGGACUCAUAAGUCAGUGGUGAAAGUUUGCAGCUUAACUGUAAAAUUGCCAUUGAAACUGUUAGUCUUGAGUGCAAGUGAGGUAGGCGGAAUGUGUAAUGUAGCGGUGAAAUGCUUAGAUAUUACACAGAACACCAAUUGCGAAGGCAGCUUACUGGUAUGUAACUGACGCUGAGGCACGAAAGCGUGGGGAUC